rnacentral:sRNA from 1 species
UAGAGGCGGCGGAGACAGAAACAGAGCCAAGGCUGCGGAGGCGGGAGGGGGAACCCAGCUGCA